AUUGAACGCUGGCGGCAUGCCUUACACAUGCAAGUCGAACGGUAACAGGUCUUCGGAUGCUGACGAGUGGCGAACGGGUGAGUAAUACAUCGGAACGUGCCCGAUCGUGGGGGAUAACGAGGCGAAAGCUUUGCUAAUAACGCAUACGAUCUACGGAUGAAAGCGGGGGAUCUUCGGACCUCGCGCGGACGGAGCGGCCGAUGGCAGAUUAGGUAGUUGGUGGGAUAAAAGCUUACCAAGCCGACGAUCUGUAGCUGGUCUGAGAGGAUGAUCAGCCACACUGGGACUGAGACACGGCCCAGACUCCUACGGGAGGCAGCAGUGGGGAAUUUUGGACAAUGGGCGAAAGCCUGAUCCAGCCAUGCCGCGUGCAGGAUGAAGGCCUUUGGGUUGUAAACUGCUUUUGUACGGAACGAAAAGCCUCUUUCUAAUAAAGAGGGGUCAUGACGGUACCGUAAGAAUAAGCACCGGCUAACUACGUG
rnacentral:rRNA from 1 species